AUUAUUGGUUAUUCAAUUAGGAGGAAUAGUAUUUACAAAGGUAACUUCAGAAAAUGAAAUUCUAAAAAAGCGGACUAAGCAGUUUACUCUAACAUUACAUGAACGAGAGAUAAGAGAAAGCGAAAAAAUGAGAAGAAACGCGUAACACUCCAAAAUCGUCUAGUAAAUCGGAAACGGCGGGCCAUUCUUCAAGUGACAGUAUCAUGGAAGCUAGCUCUGAACAAACGACUGAUAAUCGAUCUUUCUUAAAAUGAUACUUUUCAUAGCCCAAAUUAAAACAUUUUAACUCUGAAUAAAGUUAGAAGAUACCCCUCCUAAUACCUUUUACACCGAGCAAUAUCGUUUAAUCAUUUCUUUAAACAAGGAAAUUGAAUUAGAC
rnacentral:sRNA from 1 species